CAGCUUUAUUAAAACAUAAUAUUAUGUCAAUUUUGCUUUAUAUCUUUUAAAAUAAAGCAAUAUAACAUUAUAGAUACAGUGGGGACCCUUUCUGGUCUUAGUUCCUUCUCUCUCUCCUCAGAAGUAUUCAUUACCACAAAUUCGGUGUUUACUCUCAAGCAUUUUAAAAUAUUUUUAUUACAUUAUUUACUAACUAUAACCUUAUAAAGUAUUGUUUUUCAGGUUUUGAACUUUAUAUAAAUGACACCAUGCUGUAUAUAGCAUGCUAUAACUUACAUUUUAAAAUUUAACACUAUAUUUUCUAGAUUUAUCCAUGUCGACAGAUGUGGGUCAACUACAUUCAUUUUAUCAACUGUAUGGUAGUAUUCCAGUGUAAGUUUCCUCUGGCUCCCUUGUCAUCCCUCCUGCUCUUCCAUCCUCCUCACCCCCUCAGUAACUCUCACGCC
rnacentral:lncRNA from 10 species